AGGGGGUUAAAGUUUUGCUAAAACAUUUUUACUCUGUCAUAGGAAAAAACCUUAGCUAGCUUUGCAAUUUUAAUGAUUAUUCCUUUUAAAGAGUAUUUGUCUAAUAUAUGUUUAAUAAUCGGUUUAAAAUUUACCUCCGAUGUGUCACCACGGUUUACUUUAGCUUUACAUGUAUUACAAAUUGCAAGCUUUGUGUCGUCUUCACUCACACACAGUGAAGAACUUCCACACUAAUGACAUGUUAGCAUGUGGGUAUGAGUGAUCCCAUGGCUGUGAGGCUAUUAUCUGCACCGCUGUGCAUAUGAUGUGUGGUGCAUGCGCAGAAUGGACUAGUUCGGUAUCGGAAAUGCAUGAGAUCGGCUGGUCUCCAGUCUGGGCCGAGCACAUUGAAAGACAGCCAAUUUCGGUCCCUGGAUGAUCGAUCGGUGCAUCUCUAUUACAUACGCCUCUGUCUUUCUACCCCUGAGGGAACCAGGUUUGCUCUUCCAGUCCUUGCAUUCAUCAGCCUGAAUAGCUGAGAACAGCUAGAAUGACUUAUGUGUUAUUGGUUGUGCAGUAACAUGAGCAGUUCUUUUUUUUUUUAUGUGCGUCUGUGUGUCUCAAAUUGACCUCCUACACUGCCAGGGGAUGCUGUGUGAAAAGUAAAGAGACAGAGCGUGACUGUGAACUUCUGUCGUUCAGCCAUAGGUUAAGCUGCUCUGCAUGGAUGCAGUAAGUGAAGAUAUUUGACGGAUACUGUAUUGGUGCGACAGAAAUAUGAGAUGUAACAAUGCACAGAACAAAUUCAAAUUAACUUGGCUGAAUUUCUAUCCCUGAAGCUUAUUUGUUAAAGGUCCAUCACAAAUACUUUCUGUGCAUAACUGUCCAUUGCCUUGUGAAUAUCAAAGAUAUUUAAAGGUGCCCAGCAAAUGCAGAUGAAUUAUGGGCUUUGUGUGAAUGUAUUUGAUUAGAAGCACAUGUGUUGUUACAGCCAGUACUGGUAAGUGUCAUUUCCGGCUUCCUCCUGGAGGGGCCGUUAAGGCUGCAGGAGUAUGUAAGCAUGAAAAAUUGACUUCCUAUUGGAGCCCUUUUGCAUUUCUAUGGCUGCUCUCUGAAUGUUAGCCACAUAACAAUGAGUAUUUUUGACACUGCGUUGUGUUUCGGAGGAGCUGUUAUUUUUAAGUAUGUGGUCUAUUUCCUUUAGGCUUGGGUGGUGGCAGUGGGACAUGACCUGUUUGGUGAGAGCCUUGCAGCAGGACUGCCUGUACUGCCACCUUGCCUCAGUUUUACUUGUUACAGACUGACAGUUGGCUAAUUGACCAUAUGUGCUCUGGCUGAGGUCUUCAGGACAGUGAUCUACUUAACACUGAACUUCUAGGUACUAUGAACGAACUAAUAUUCCUGCACUGUUUAUGUUACUUUGCAAAUCACAGCCACCUUGCUAUGAGUGGGGACUGAAUGCCAUUCUGUGUCCAGAGCAUUUCUUAGCAGAGUCAUGAGAAAUGUUCAAAGAUGGAACCUUCUGUUCCGGGGCUUUGCCUAUUUAAAGGGCCUUGUAAUAUCUCCCCACCUUUCCUCUUUUAUCUGUAACUCCCUUUCUCUUCAGUGCCUUGCUGAUAGGUUUCCACAUGACACCCCCCAGAAUUAGAUCUGACCUUCUCCGUAUUCUGUAUUGCAGACUCUUACGCCUCAAAUUUUCACCGUAGUGUUUGACUCCUACUGAUCUGGUCACUGAAGAUGGCAGGUUUACGUACCUGGAGCUACACAGAAGUCUCCUGUGAUGUGGGAUUUUGGGGACGGAGCAAGGAUCCUAUGACAAUUGAGGACUCAAUGAUAAUGUUUUUUUUCUCCCUCAGUACCUUAUUUGGAGCAAGUCAGUUCUGGGUCCUACACAGCUUUGCACCAAAGCUUAAUGCGCAACCUGUUGUGUGAAACCAAUGUGAAAAUGAACAUCUUUUUUUUUAACCCAUCUGUGAAGAUAGCUGUAUGCAGACGCCUCCAGUAUAAUCUUAAUAUACAGCAAAAACCGAAUAACACUGUUCUUUAUGCUACGAUUGCAAAGUCAUGUCUGUGAUGGCUGCCGAUAUAUUAAACACUGAAUUUAAAUUAUUUGAAAUUAUGUUCUGUACUGUACUGUUGGACACAGCAUUGCAAAUGUAGUUUUAAUUUUGAUUCAAUUACAUUUUGAUUUGUAUGAGUUGGUCUGCAGUGUUAUUUUUCUCAGUAUUCAUAUUCCAGCAUUACUGAAGGUUUCAAUUGAAUGUCAGUUUUUAUUUGCUGUGCUGGUGUUGGAGAAUGGUUACUUUCAACAUGUUUCUUUUAAUACAACAUAAGUAUGAGUUAAGACCCAACAUGGUUGAUAAAAGCUUGAUUUUCUUCAUUUUGUGUGUUUUUCCAUUUUAGUUUUUUAAUUUAGUUUUUAGAUUAGAUAAAUAGGUAAUAUAGAUAUUAGAAUUAAAUUGAUAAACUUCUUAUACAUACAACAGCAAGAACAUAGAGCACAAACAAACAAUAUACAUUAGUGCAAGACAGACAAGGUGCAAAAACAGAACACACAGUGCAAUCUAAUUAAAAAGUCUGCAGUACAAAAAAACUGAGAAGCAGAAUAUUAUAGACUAUCAAGGAAGUAAAUAUUAGGGAUGGGGGGAUGGUAUUUGUGGAAUUAAAAAAAACAGCUUUGUGUUAUGGCUGGGAUAGGGAGUGGAAAUACAAGCAUGUUUCCACUUGGUUUCAAACUGUGAACCUUUUGGCUGUGAGCAAACAUGGUAGCCACAAUCUAUGGAAACCGAAGAUUGGUACUUUUAAAUACCUACCAGUGCUUCAACGGACCUCCAGUGGAUAGUGCAUUUACUUAAAGCCCCUCCCCACAUCUCUGCUUAUAGACCUGUUUUCAUUUUGCAGUGGUCGGGUUCCAGAAAACCCCUAAAUGGUAUGAAAUACUAGCUUGUGGCACACCUCCAGUGUCCCUGGAGCUGUGCCAAGAUGGUGUUUGUUAGUGCGAGUGAAUGUUUCUCUUUGUGGCUUAUCAAGCAGCUGGUUCCUAAGGAUUUGUCAUAGAGUGUACCAUACCUGUUAAAACCUAUAGCCAGUUUCACUGGUAGCUAAUCUGUCACACAUGAUCAUACAUACCAGUACUGUGAUUGAUGGGAAAUAAGAUUCAUUGACUACGAGCAUAUCUUCCAGCUUUUUGAAAACACUGUAGAUAGUCCAAGCAGUUUAGUUGUGCCUUUUUGAUGGAUUGUUGAUUUUGUACAAUACUAAUAGGUCGGCUUACGUCUUAUUCUUUAUUUCUUCAUGUAAUGUAUGCUUAAUUCUCUCAAGCACUUGAGAGAACCAGGGAAGGGAAAGUGGCCGAAUUUGCAUGCCUAUCAGCCCCUUAUAGCCUUUACAUCAAGUUUCUUAAUAUUUCAAGAUUGAGGGUAGGCCGUUGGGUAUGUUUUAUAUUCCAGCCAAAAAGCAUGGGAGUAAAGAUGGCAUCUGUGCUGAUGAUACGUUUUACCUUGUGCUGCGUAAUAAUAAUGCAAGAACCAAUGAUGGCUUUGGGUCCCAUGAAUGAUGUGUGUUUGGAAUGGUGUAGGUGGUCCGGUGUCACUGCACAGGGAAGCUGACAGGACCUGACAGUAAAAUUAUGCUCUUCCCAUUGUGUAUGGAGUGGGAAUAAGGCAAGCUAAGGCAGAGGCUGAUGUCUGUCCCCAUUCAAGCUACCAGCAUUCGGUUGUAUACUGUAAAUUGGUGACCGAUCGAUAGGUAAGGCACUCUGACACGAGAAAUGUGGAGGCUGUGAGUUCCUGUUUACCAGAAACUGUUUUUGUUUACAUGUUCUAAAAAUAAGACUGAUGGAUUGUACAGUCCACAUGGUUCCUCGAAGAUAAAAAUUGCAGUAAUGUCUUCCUCCAGUUUCAUAAAUAGGUUUUAGUUUUGAUGUCACUUGGUGUACAUGCCCCUGUGUCCUGAGUAUUUUCAUAGGUCCUUGUUUUGAUAGCCAGAUAUUCCAGAGUUGGAUAGCCGGUGAUUAUGACGGCCGGUGAAGUCUGGUGUAAUUUUAUCCAGAGGGGAUGCCAGCAUCUUUUUAACUUCAUAAUAGACUGUAUGGUCAUGUGGUUACAUCAUCCUGAGUCAUGGGACCAGGGUCCAGAAUCCAACAGAGGUGGAGUGUGGGACCUCCAGGCGAAACCAGCCAGUAUCCGUCAUAUUUGGUUGUAUGCUUAAGUCUCUCAAGCACUUGGGAGAACCAGGGAAGGGAAAGUGGCCAAAUUUGGAUGCCUAUCAGCCCCUUAUAGCCUUUGCAUCAAGGUUUUUAAUAUUUCAAGAUUGGGGGUAGGCUGUUGGGUAUGUUUUAUAUUCCAGCCAAAAAUUGUCCAGUCAACACUCUCCAAAAUGGUAACGCUUGAAUAUUCCUCAUCAUUGGUAGAGGUGGAUGGCUGCCUCCCAGGGUCUCUCACUGAACGAUCAGGACAUUUCACAGGUUCCUCUUCUAUCAGUCUUUGAUCACCCUCACUGAUCAGCCUCUGCUACACUUGGGCCUUCAUCUGUGUCCCCUGCCUUCAACACACCCUUGCUGGAAUUAUGAACCGCACAGACUGCAACAAGAGGCAACAAACACUGUAAGUAGAGACUUCUGAGAUGGGCCAUGCAUAGUGGAGUGUGCGAGCGGGCCCCGGCACUCACGUGGAAGUCUACCCUGGCCCGGGUUUCACAAUGCCUGCACUGGAUCACGAGCAGGACCCCUAAGAGUCAGGUCAAAGGGUGUAGUAUCAGUCCCAUCUGAGAUGACCCCCUGAACCUCAGAGGAGCCUGGAACUGUCACUGGGAAAUGGAUGUUGGAGGAGCUUCACCAUCAGCAUGCAUGCUAGCCCUGACCAUUCAUAUCCUGCCUGGUGCUCUAUAACAUUCUUUGCAGUAGCCAUCGAAUAAUGUCUUUCUGGAUGGGUCAUAUCCUAUACACCAUUACUAUUAUAUGUUAUUUGAUAGAUGUCUGACAGUGCUGUCAGCAUGUUAAAUUAUUGUGAGAGAAUUAUUGAAUUAAGAAUUUGUGUUUUAAACCUGAGUGACAUGUUGGAUAAUGAAAAUUGGGUGGGCAAGGGGUGAUUGGGGAAAUGCAGUAUAGAUGGCUUAAUUAAGUAUUUACUUUGGAAUAUCUUGUACGCUUAUUGCGUUGGGGGGGGUUUUUAUUAAAAAUUGACAAAUUUACCUGUGGUUGUCUAACCUCGUAACUGGUGGGGGAAAGAUAUACAGAAGAUUUAUGUGAUCAUAAAAUAACUCCUUAAGUAUUA